CCUACGGGAGGCAGCAGUGGGGAAUUUUGCGCAAUGGGGGAAACCCUGACGCAGCAACGCCGCGUGAGUGAUGAAGGCCUUCGGGUCGUAAAGCUCUGUCAGAAGGAAAGAAAUGUUGGGUGGUUAAUACCCAUUUAACUUGACGGUACCUUCAAAGGAAGCACCGGCUAACUCCGUGCCAGCAGCCGCGGUAAU
rnacentral:rRNA from 1 species